AUGAUUCAAAAUUAUGGCUCCAGAUUCAAAAUUCAAAAUUAUGGCUCCAGAUAUAUAAGAUACCAUCUUCUUCAAUCAAUUACUCUCUCUAAUCCAUUUCUCUCUCAACUCUCUCUCUCUCUCUCUCUCUCUCUCUCUCUCUCUCUCUAAAUGCAGGUUUCUUCUUUCUCAAAUCAAUUAUCCAGACCAUAGACGCUUUCUUCUUUCUCAAAUCAUCCAAAUCUUCGAUUCAAGUCUCUGAUUCGGAUGAUUAUUAUCCAGCUUCACCAAACUGUAUCCUUGAGUCCACAAUCUGAGAUCGAUCUAUUCCGUAGGGUUUUGAUUGGUUUUACGGCGAUAAUAUCGGUGACAAAAUGGGUUUAUCACCAUUUUUGUUGAGAAAUGCUUGGAAGCUGAGACAGCCAGCAUGAAAGUCAUGAGAUACGAAAGUCUUCAUUGCUGACAUAGUCCAUUAUUUGGUUGUUAUCAGAUUGCAUUUUAGUUGUUGUUCAUGUAGCUGAUGCUGUAUAUUGUUUCAACCACCAAGUCAGAAGGAGGCGAUGAGGCAGAAUAGGCGUAGAAGCUCCGAUUGCUCGAUCAUGAUUAUAUAACUAGAAAGAAACACAGGUGUGCUCUACUGUAUGCUAUGCUGAUUGCUGACACCAAAGAGAAGUAGCAGUACUAUUUGUUUCUAAGACAAAAUAAACAAACCAUCAUAUAUUAUAAUACCAUGGAACCUUGCACCAAUUCAGAGCAUAGAGAACAGGGUACAUCCCCUUCCAGCUACCGGUAAGUAAUAGCUGCAGCUACCGAUAAGUAAUAGCUGCUGCUUGGAAGCUGAGACAGCCAGCAUGAAAGUCAUGAGAUACGAAAGUCUUCGUUGCUGACAUAGUCCAUUAUUUGGUUGUUAUCAGAAAGAUGGAACUCAUAUGUUUAAUUUGGAAGGAUUUAUUCCAAAACUUUGUCAAUUAGCUCAAGAAGUUGGUGAAGAUGAGCGAGUUGCGCCACUUCGUUCAGUUGGCUUGCAAGCUCUUUCUUGAAUGGUGUGGUUCAUGGGUAGAUAUUCCCAUAUAUCAGCCGAGUUUGACAAUAUUGUUUCGGUAGUUUUGGAAAAUUAUGGAUCUCUGAUUAACGAGUCUGAAAACCCUAAUGAAAAUCGAUGGGUUCAAGAAGUACUAAAAAACGAGCAUCAUGUGCCAUCAGAGGCUUUGAUGAAGGUUCCUUCUUGGAGUGCAAUUGUAAAUGAGAAAGGCGAAUUAAAUGUGUCGGCGUGGGAGUGAGAGCUCAAAGCAAAGCAGGAGUGGGAAGAAGAGUCAAAAGGCGAUGUUGAAACUCGGAUCGGUUCUUGGUGUUAGUUGGGUUACCAUCAAAAGAGCAAAAACUGUAAGAUAUAUAUGGCGCUUUAGAAGUAUUGUCCCUUUUGAAAAUCAUUGGUAAAGGUUACAGACUUUAUGCCGCUGGAAGUAAGUGUAAGUCGCCAUCAUUUGGAAGAUUUGAGAAAAAGAAAGGCCUCGUAUCUGACAGUUCUUCUGGGAUUGUGUAUCUGGCCCGACUAAACCUUUAAUUUAGUGAAUAUAUCUUUGGACAGACUACAAAAAGAAAGAAUUGAAAUGAUGCGUGAAGUUAUCGAUCUACAAGAUUAGCAACGCGGGACCCAUCAACGCGGGACAGACUACAAAAAGAAAGAAUUUAGUGUAUAUAUCUUCGGACGGCUGACGGUUGAGAACGUGGUGGAUAUUCUCCAACUCGUUCGGCUCUGCGAUGCACUUGAUCUUUACCCAAAGUGUAUGAAAGUGGUAUCUAAAGAUUCAAGUCUGUUGAAGAAACAGAUGGAUGGAAGUUCGUUUAAAACGAUGAUCUGUAUCUCGAACUCGAAAUCAUCAAGUUCAUUGAUGAAGUUGAAUUGAGGAGGAAGAGUACUAGAAAGCAUAUGCAAGAAUAGAGUUUGUAUUUUCAGUUGAGUGAAACUAUGGAUUGUCUACAAUACAUUUGCACAGAAGGUUGCACAAGUGUAGGACCGUUUGACAUAAAACCGAGCAAGAACAGAGCACCUUGCAGCAAAUUUGCGACAUGCGAAGGCCUCCAACACUCGAUUUGUCACUUUGCGAACUGUAAGAAGAGAGUUAGUGGAGGUUGUGUUAGGUGUAAACAUAUGUGGCAAUUCUUCAAACUCCAUUCUUCUAUUUGUGAAUCACAUGAUUCUAUUUGCAAAGUUCCCCUCUGCAGGGGCAAAGGUUGGUCAUCAGUUGCUGUCAAAGUCACAUAUGUAUAGGGGCAAAGGUUCAUUUAUUUAGAAUGUUCUCGAGCGGCAUCUGUUAUUGUUGGUGACUCUGCUAAACUUGAUCUUUUUUAUAGUCUUUCUAAUGUAUUGUUUAUUAUUUAUUGUUUAUGCAUUUGAUACAUAUGUAAUAAGGAUGAUAGUAAAGUAGUGAAUUUAGUAACUACACAUUUGUCAUUUUAUGAUUUUGUAAUAUUUUUUCAAUAUGAUUUUGUAUUAUUUUUUCAUAA
rnacentral:lncRNA from 1 species